UUCUCCUGCCAGAAUACCCAAGCACUAAGAACAGGAUGCAUGGUCUAGAAGCAGCACAGACAUGUUUGGUGUGUUUGGUAGGUAGGAUGUUUGUGUAUCCUCUUUCAUCUUCCCUUUCAUUCCUCUCUCUAUCUCUUCUCUCCUCCCACACGGCUUUGAACUCUACGCCUCUCAUCCAUCUGAGUUUUGGGAUUUUUUUUAAUCUUCCCUCCCUCUAUCUCUCUGUCCGUAUCUGUCUCUUCAUCCUGUCCUCAUCCUGUCUCUGUCUGAAUCUAAACACUCGCUUAGUCCUAUAAUCACUUCUCUUUUCACGUUCCUACUCUCCACGACUCGUCGCUGCUAAAUUGUGAGCUGUGCGUAAUCACUGCGUAAGAUCAUAUUACGCGAUAUGUGAACAUGUCCAGGGAUUACAGUGAGCCACUAGGAGAGGAAUAAAUGAAACAUCACUGAUGUGGGUGUGGGAGAGUGUAGGCUGAGCAGUGGAUUUGGGGCACAGCCAAUGGAAAGGAUUUCACCUUCAUUUUUAUUUGUUCCUGAUAUAUUUUAAAAUGAUCUAUGAGGCAUGGAAGACUGGCAAGAAGACAUAAAAAAGCAAACAGAACCUUCCGAUCCGAGCGAGUGAUGUAAGGCUGAUGCUCGCGUUGCAAUGUGAUAGCGGUGAUGUCAUGACUGGGAUCCUAACAAAGCAAUGAGACUGAGAUGAACACACAUGAACCAUGUUCAAUAGAGAGAUUGCAAAUCUGUGCUUUUGCUGCUUUUAGAAUGCUGACAUUUAGAGGGCUGACAUCAGGGUGAACAGAGAAGUAGAAAUGCAUCGCUCCAAGACUGUGGAUCAGUAUAAAGAUCCAUUCUGGCCUUAAACACUAGAACACUACAUCCAAUCUGAUUUGACAAACGUUCCGAUCCGGUCCACUAUUUGAGUCAAUGCCCAGAACUGGUUUGAUGUUGACUGACACAUCGCUGAUAGUAAACAUAAACUCAGAACACAAGCACACCAUCAUCAAGCCUGUGAGGUUUCACAUAACGCUGAACAAGACAUUACAGAAAAAACUACUGCGUCAAUUUACUGUUACUGUGAGGAGGGGAGAGGAGAGGAGAGGAGAGGAGAGGAGAGGAGAGGAGAGCAGAGAAGAGAAGAGAAGAGAAGAGGAAAUGAAGGAGAAGAGAAGAGAAGAGAAGAGAAGAGAAGAGAAGAGAAGAGAAGAGAAGAGAAGAGAAGAGAAGAGAAGAGAAGAGAAAGGAGAAGAGAAAAGGAAAUGAAGGAGAAGAGAAGAGGAUAUGAAGGAGGAGAGAAGAGAAGAGGUGAGAAGAGGAAAUGAAGGAGAAGAGAAGAGAAGAGAAGAGAAGAGGAAAUGAAGGAGAAGAGAAGAGAAGAGAAGAGGAAAUGAAGGAGAAGAGAAGAGACGAGAAGAGAAGAGAAGAGAAGAGAAGAGAAGAGAAGAGGAAAUGAAGGAGAAGAGAAGAGAAGAGAAGAGAAGAGAAGAGAAGAGAAGAGAAGAGAAAGGAGAAGAGAAAAGGAAAUGAAGGAGAAGAGAAGAGGAUAUGAAGGAGGAGAGAAGAGAAGAGGUGAGAAGAGGAAAUGAAGGAGAAGAGAAGAGAAGAGAAGAGAAGAGAAGAGAAGAGAAGAGAAGAGGAAAUGAAGGAGAAGAGAAGAGAAGAGAAGAGAAGAGGAAAUGAAGGAGAAGAGAAGAGACGAGAAGAGAAGAGAAGAGAAGAGAAGAGAAGAGAAGAGAAGAGAAGAGGAAAUGAAGGAGAAGAGAAGAGAAGAGAAGAGAAGAGAAGAGAAGAGAAGAGAAAAGGAAAUGAAGGAGAAGAGAAGAGGAUAUGAAGGAGGAGAGAAGAGAAGAGGUGAGAAGAGGAAAUGAAGGAGAAGAGAAGAGAAGAGAAGAGAAGAGAAGAGAAGAGAAGAGAAGAGGAAAUGAAGGAGAAGAGAAGAGAAGAGAAGAGGAACUGAAGGAGAAGAGAAGAGAAAAGAAGAGAAGAGAAGAGGAGGAAAUGAAGGAGAAGAGAAGAGAAGAGAAGAGGAAAUGAAGGAGAAGAGAAGAGAAGAGAAGAGAAGAGAAGAGAAGAGAAAAGGAAAUG